UACGUAGGGGGCAAGCGUUGUCCGGAUUUAUUGGGCGUAAAGAGCGUGUAGGCGGCCGUACAGGUCAGCUGUGAAAACUCGAGGCUCAACCUCGAGACGUCGGUUGAAACCGUACGGCUAGAGUCCGGAAGAGGAGAGUGGAAUUCCCGGUGUAGCGGUGAAAUGCGCAGAUAUCGGGAAGAACACCCGUGGCGAAGGCGGCUCACUGGCCCGGUACUGACGCUCAGGUGCGAAAGCGUGGGGAGCAAACAGG
rnacentral:rRNA from 1 species